GACGAACGCUGGCGGCGCGCUUAACACAUGCAAGUCGAACGGAAAGGCCUGCUUUCCCUUGUGGAUUGCGGGUACUCGAGUGGCGAACGGGUGAGUAACACGUGAGUGAUCUGCCCCCAACUUGGGUAUAACCCUGGGAAACUGGGUCUAAUUCCCGAUAGGACUGCAGGGUGGUGCCUGUGGUGGAAAACGAUUUUCUAGUGGUUGGGGAUGAGCUCGCGGCCUAUCAGCUUGUUGGUGGGGUAAUGGCCUACCAAGGCGGCGACGGGUAGCCGGCCUGAGAGGGUGGACGGCCACAUUGGGACUGAGAUACGGCCCAGACUCCUACGGGAGGCAGCAGUGGGGAAUAUUGCACAAUGGGCGGAAGCCUGAUGCAGCGACGCCGCGUGGGGGAUGACGGCCUUCGGGUUGUAAACUCCUUUCGACCGCGAGGAAGCCACCUGGUUGGAAGGGUGGUGACGGUAGUGGUAGAAGAAGCACCGGCUAACUACGUG
rnacentral:rRNA from 1 species